rnacentral:lncRNA from 1 species
GAGAGCAGGGCUGGCUCUGGGUCUGCACAAGGUAGAUCGUCACAUCACCCUAUUGUGGGUAAAGUGCUUGGGUAAAUUUGGACAUAGAAAAUUAACACCAUGUGAAGGUGAAGGCAGAGACUGGGUGAUGCUUCUAUAAACCAAGAAACUCCAAGGACUGUCAGCAAACCAGCAGAAGCUAGGAGAGAGGCAUGGAACGGAUUUCUCCUCACAGCCCUCAGAAGAAACCAACCCUGUCACCAUUUUGAUCUUGGACUUUAGCCUCUGGAACUGUGAGACAAUACAUUUCUGUUUGUUUCAGCCACCUAGUUCAUAGUACUUUGAAGUGACCUUUACACCACUCUCACUUAGAGAUGAGGUCUGUGUCCCCUCCUCUUGAAAUUGAGUGGCUUUUGUGACUGUGUACACAGGUAGAGUAAACUGCAGAGCUGCCUGUCUGUGACUUCCAAGGCUAGGUCAUAAAAGGAGAUAAAGCUUCUUCCUGGCUGGUUGGGCUGCUUGCUCUUGAAGCCUUCAGUCUCUAUGCACGCAGCAUGCCUUCCCAGCCUCCUGUGGUUGUAGAGUGUAUAGAAGGCAGUUGGAUCACUAUGGACAGCGGGUAAGAGCUGAGGAAGCAGCCUCCGCCAGGUGGUAACAUGGAGGACCCUGAAGCAGGCCAAUUAAAUCAAGCAUAUUCCUCAGUAUCAUGGAGAGACUGGAGGUUAGAGACACCAAAACCAUCCCUGGCUUAAUGACUUUGGGAUCCCUGGGCCCCUCCAUGCAGCAGAACGGCAAUUAACCAAGCAAAGGAAGAGAGGGCAGCAGGGCUGAAUCCUGUCAUGGAAUGCUUCCAUCUGCAAGUGGCACAUUUCAGUGGCCAAAGCAAAUUAUGCCAUCCCUGACUUCAAGACCAUUGGCCAUUCUCUGACCAUCUCAAGCCAGAGGUGACUUGAUCUGUCACCCAGCUGUGGCCCAUGAGCAUUAUCUAAGGAGGAACAUUUUUGCUUACGUUUCCAGUGCUCUACAUAAGCCCUAGGCCCUGGGAGGCACUGAAAUGCUCAAUGGGAGCUCCAUGUGUGCAGGCUUAUGGACUGAAAUACUACUUUCAUGGCUCUGGCUAUGAACAUCAGCAUAUAGAGAAUGGAUCACUACCAAAGAAGGCACCCGAAUGUGUCUGUCUCAUCCUGGGGAAACUCAUUCAUCUGUAUAUGUACUCAGCAAGUGUUUCCUGGCACCUGCUCUGGGUCACAGUGCUGGGCACUGGAAGCUGAGAGAUGUGGAAGAAGGCUGGACAUUCAAGAUGAGAAGCCCGAGGCUGGUAAACUAGAGUCCAAGGGCAGAAAGCUGGGACAAUGGCUGGAGGAAGAAAUGAGAGGAUCUCUAUACCCAGGCCUUGGCUUCUAUGUCCCUUCUCGAAGUGGUUGAAGUGCAGAUUUCUGAUUCUGUACCCAGCCUCCAGGGACACAGUACACAGUAUGCUGGGAAUGGCGGUGGGUGUUUGAGGUACAUUACUUCCAGACAAAACAUGGCUGCAGAGGGAUACCAAAAGCAUCUUCUGGUGGCUGAAGCCCUGUCUGCACAAGUGUCUGUGUUCUUCAAUGGUUCAGGCAAGCUCAGACAGACCCUCUGCUUCUCUUAACCUGAGACACUAGUUUCCCCAAGAACUUUGAGCUGAAGGUUCCUUGCUGUGUCCCCUACCUGGCUGUGAGGACUUUGAGUAUAAUUAUCCUAUCUUAUUUGUUGCUGUGCUCCCAGUGUCUUGGAUGGAGCCUGACAUCUAGUCAGUGUUAGUAAAUGUUGAUGUGUAUUGAAUUUUGCAAGGAUCUGCAGCCCUGAGAAGAGGGGAUACUUCUUGGAAACCUCUGUGGGCUAAAUUGAGGGUUAAGGACUGGGACUGGAAGGCAGAGAUUCCAGAGUGAUAACCACAGUAGUUACUAUUUCAUGAGAGCCUCCAUGUGCCAGCCUCUAAGCUAGGCCCAUACCAUGCAUUACCUCUUGUCCCCACUUUACAGAAACUAAGGCUUAGACAAGUUAAGCAACUUGCUAAAGAUCAAACAACUCAAUAUGUGUUGGAGUCAAAUGAACGCAUUUCUUUUCCAUUUCCCUCAUUUACUCCACUAAUGACAGUACUUAAAUUGUAGACUAGGAAUUAAAAUAGCAGAAGCCUGACUUGAGAGGGCAGAGCCCCUGCGUUUGAGUGCCUGAAAGUCAGUCAUGGGUAGAAAGAACAGUCUUGUAGCAGAGCUCUGGGCAAGGGAGGAGCCGUGAGCAGGUGGACAUGAACUCACUGUGACAACUCUCCAACAGUGAAAGCAGGUUCCCAUGGAAUCCAGGGAAAUUACUGAAUAACUUUCAACACAAAAAUGUGUGCUAGUGAGCUGUAGAGCCU